GAUGAACGCUGGCGGCGUGCCUAAUACAUGCAAGUCGAGCGAACGGACGAGAAGCUUGCUUCUCUGAUGUUAGCGGCGGACGGGUGAGUAACACGUGGAUAACCUACCUAUAAGACUGGGAUAACUUCGGGAAACCGGAGCUAAUACCGGAUAAUAUUUUGAACCGCAUGGUUCAAAAGUGAAAGACGGUCUUGCUGUCACUUAUAGAUGGAUCCGCGCUGCUUUAGCUAGUUGGUAAGGUAACGGCUUACCAAGGCAACGAUGCAUAGCCGACCUGAGAGGGUGAUCGGCCACACUGGAACUGAGACACGGUCCAGACUCCUACGGGAGGCAGCAGUAGGGAAUCUUCCGCAAUGGGCGAAAGCCUGACGGAGCAACGCCGCGUGAGUGAUGAAGGUCUUCGGAUCGUAAAACUCUGUUAUUAGGGAAGAACAUAUGUGUAAGUAACUGUGCACAUCUUGACGGUACCUAAUCAGAAGGCCACGGCUAACUACGUG
rnacentral:rRNA from 1 species